GCAGUAGCAAGUGCUGCCAGUCGGGUAGUAUGGCUGGGGGCAUGUGGGGACUUGACUGGGGGCACCCCAUGGGGACCCUAACCCUGACAGCUCUAGCUGAAGGAAUACGGUCCGGCCAGAGGCAGCCUCUGGGACCCCCUUCCACAGGCCCUCAGCCUGAGUCCCAGGAGCUUGGAUCUCAGGCUGAGCUGCAGGACCAGGUACCCACUGACUCUGAAGCUGAGCCUGGAAGUGGGACCACUGACCCCAGAGCUGGCCGUGAGCCCUGCUCCCCACACAGUGCCCAGGAGCCAGCCCCAGAGGGGCCCCAGCAGGUGAGUGCUGAGGGAUCGGGCACUGUGGGGACUACUGGGGAGCACAGCUCCUCUUCCAGGUCACCCAGACACUAGAUGGAAAGUGGUGCUGUAACUGGGGAAGGUGCUCCAGGAUCAAAUGGGCUGAGGAGCAAUACAGGGGCUCAGGGUUCCACAGCCAAGCUUGGAGGCUGGGGAGGAGAGCUGGGAGAGGAUUGGAGACUUCAUACACCCCCCACCCUGCCCUAGGCCUUCCAGAGUUCCUGGGAGGAGGGUGCUCUCUCUGACCUUGCGCUCUACACGGCUGCCUGCUUGGAAGAGGCUGGCUUUGCAGGGACCCAGGCCACAGCACUCACCCUGUCCUCAGCCUUGGAGGCCCAUGGGGCACAACUGGGAGAGCAGGUCAGCCCCCACUCCCUCCCUACUCACACUGGGGUGUUGGAGCCUGCAGCCUGGCACCCAUGCCCCCUUCAGGCUGUUUCUGCUGGUUGGGGGUGGGGUGUUGGCAAGAGGGUCUCAGUGAAGAGUGGAGUUCUGGCCACUGACACCUGCCCCCUCCACCCAGGUGCAUGCCCUGGUGCGUGGGCUGCUGGCACAAGUGCCCAGCUUGGCCGAGGGGAGGCCGCGCCGGGCGGCCCUGAGGGUACUGAGCGCACUGGCCCUGGAGCAUGCGCAGGAUGUGGUGUGGGCGCUGCUGCCACGGUCGCUGCCUCCAGAUCGGUAACCUGACCCGAAUGCUCCCCUGCGGCCCCACGCAGCUUCCUUCCCCCUUCCUGCUUGGCCAUCUGGCUCUGGAAUAGGCAGGCUGUAAGGGAACAGAGCCUUGGAAUUCCCUCCCCUGCUGCUUUCCAUCCAUUCCACCUUACCAUUCUGUGAAAUCCCAGUGCCCUUCUGUCUUGGGAUCCCAGAUGAUGGAAGUCCUUCAUGGGGUCACCUUGUCUCUCCUGAGGAUCGAGGGUUGUUCCACGAAAUACCUGGUGUUGUGCUCUGGGGUGGGUGAGCAAGCAGAGUGGCUUCAGCUCAGGGAUGCCUCUAGUUAUUGGUUUAAUUUGUUCCAGGAGAAAUCAUCUUUGGUUUUAUUCUCUAUGAGCUAUUGUGUAAAUAGAAAGAACCAGGUGUGUUUCACUGUCAUGCCCAACAGUGCUCCAAAGUGCAUCCCAACCCCAAAGUCGUUGUGGCUUAUUUUGUUUCUUUGGGAGGGCAAGGGAUGGUUUACUCUCCCCUCCCUGGCCCCAGCCUGAGGACCUCCCGCAGCCACUCAGCACUGGCCCUGCACCCAAUCUUUGUCUCACAUCCUGUCACCCUGUGCCCCCAGGGCAGCUGCAGAACUGUGGCGCAGCCUCAGCCGGAACCAGCGCGUGAACGGACAGGUGCUGGUGCAACUGCUGUGGGCGCUGAAGGGAGCAGCAGGGCCCGAGCCCGAGGCGCUGGCGGUGAGUAGCUCCACCGGCACCAGCAGGAGGCCAGUCUGGCUGCCCUGGCUGUGAGUCAGCCCACAGGUUCCCACUUGAGUCACGGAUAUCUUGCAGAAUAUCACAUGGGUGUCCUAGGCUUUGUCCUCGUCCUGUCUGCGGAGCACCCUCCUCCCUGGUACCUGAUACGGUCCUGGGCACUGCUCAAGCCUGGGGGACCACUUGCUCCACAGGCCACGCGGGCUCUUGGGGAGAUGUUGGCAGUGUCCGGCUGUGUGGGAGCCACGCGAGGAUUUUACCCACACCUGCUGCUUGCGCUGGUCACACAGCUACAUGAACUGGCUCACGGGGCACGCUCUCCUGACAGCCCUAAGGUUUGGGCCCCGUCCCACCGAGGGCCUCCACACAGCCAUGCCAGGUGAGGAGAGACACUGAGGUAAGUAGGAUGCUCAGCACCUCCUUGGCCCUCACUGUCCACUGAACUGCUGCCCCUACCUCCAGCUGUGCGGUGGAGGCCUUGAAGGCCCUGCUCACCGGGGAUGGUGGUCGCAUGGUGGUCACCUGCAUGGAGCAAGCGGGAGGCUGGAGGAGACUGGUGGGAGCCCACACACACCUAGAGGGUGUCCUGCUGUUGGCCAGGUGAGGAGGGGCCUCAGGACUGCACACCAGGAGGAGGCUUCCUGUUGGCCAGGUUCAAGGCAGGGGUAUAAGGAGGGUGGGUGAGGCCCCAAGUGGAGGGAGACCUCCCAUUUACCCCACCCUCAGUGCCAUGGUGGCACACGCCGACCACCACCUUCGAGGCCUCUUCGCAGAUUUGCUUCCCCGGCUACGCAGUGCCAACGACCCGCAGCGCCUCACCGCUAUGGCCUUUUUCACAGGGGUGAGUCCUCUUCCAGAAGGGCGGUGAGGGAUGAUGGUUACGUGAACCCUAAGGAGCACCGGCCUGCACGGGGACUGAGAGCCUUGCUGACUGUGUGUCCCUUCCCCAGCUGUUGCAAAGCCGGCCCACCGCACGGCUACUGCGGGAGGACGUCGUCUUAGAGCGGCUUCGAACCUGGCGGGGCGACUCUGAGCCCACAGUGCGUUGGCUGGGCCUGCUAGGCCUCGGCCACCUUGCCCUGAAUCAAGGGAAGGUGAGGACAGGGUCAGGGCGGGGCCAGGACAGGUCUGCCAGGGGUUGGCCACUAGUCCCUGUGUCUGCAGGUGCGGCAUGUGGGCACGCUGCUGCCGGCACUCUUGGGCGCACUGGGCGAGGGCGACGCGCGGCUCGUGGGUGCAGCGCUGGGUGCACUGCGGAGGCUACUGAUGCAAAGGCGAGCUCCGGUGCGGCUGCUGAGCCGGGAGCUCGGGCUACGCCUCCCGCCGCUGCUGGACGACGUGAGCAAGGCCCCGCCUCCGCCAUCAACCCGCCCUCAGGCCCCGUCCCGCCCGCAGUCUCCGCCCCUCCCCCAGGCUCUCUGCACGCUCCCCGCCGCCCUGACUCCAGAGGCACCCCAGUCAGCACCCCCAGAGCCUCUCCUUCCUCGCUCCACCGGACCACCCCCUCACUCUUGAACCCUUCUCCCUCUCCAUCCGCCUGACUGUGUCCUCCCAUGCAGGCCCGGGACUCAGUCCGCGCCUCGGCUGUCGGGCUCCUGGGGACGUUGGUGCGACAGGGCCAGAGUGGGCUCCGUGUGGGGCUCCGCGGUCCCCUGCGGAAGCUCAUACUACAGAGUCUCGUGCCGCUGCUGUUGCGCCUUCACGACCCCAGUCGGGACGCUGCUGAGGUCAGCUGCCCCUCCGUCCCACCCCUAUCUCAUCCAAUUGUGUCUCCCUACUCCCACGCUGUUGCCUCAGGUUAGGUCAGGGACACCCACAGUGCCCUCAUGGGCUCCCAGGUUCCUAAUCUUCCCCUGGGCUGCCGUACUCAAUCCCCUGCCUUGGGCUCUUCCAACGCUCCUGGUCACAACCCUUUCCCCUCUACCUCGUGCCACUUCCUGGGUCCCUAAGCCUGCUUCCUUUCCCUAUGCCAGAGCUCGGAGUGGACGCUGGCCCGCUGUGACCAGGCUCUUCGCUGGGGCCUGCUGGAGGAGAUGGUCACUGUGGCCCACUAUGACAGUCCUGAGGCUCUAAGCCGUGUCUGCCGGCGCCUGGUAGGUAGAGGAAGCACGGUGAUGGUGAGGGGGUGUGGUCCCUCAUGCUCCUGGUGGGGCAGGUGCACGACCUUGCUCCAUAUGGCCCAGCUCUCGGGCUCCCAACCCCAAGGUUCACCUCUGCAGUUUUGGCCCUCCUUCCUGCAACAAACCCUCUGUUCCCAGGUUCAGCUAUACCCCAACCACCUGCCCAGCUUCCUGAGCCAGACCCAGGGCUAUCUGCGGAGUCCUCAGGACCCACUGCGGCACGCUGCCACUGUGCUUGUAGGUAAGGUAGUCCUGGGUAGGCCAUCUCACCCAGGGCUCUAUGAACUGGACCCUCCCCUCCCCUCCCCUCUGGGACAUGCAGCCGGAACUCGGGGUUUGCUUUGGUCCAGGCUUCCUGAUUUAUCACGCAAGUCCCAGAGGAGUCAGCCAGGAGCUGCUGGAUUCCCUGCUCCAGGGUGAGGACUCAGCAUGUCAGAGCGUGAGGUCCUGAAGGGGUGGCGGGUGCUAGGACCCAGGGGAUGCUGGAGGGCCAGGGCUCUGACGCUGGCAUCCCGAGUGACCUUCCCUGCCUCCCUGAACCGUGUGUGUGUGUGCACAGACCUAGGGCAGCUGCGGAGCGACCCCGAGCCGGCGGUGGCCGCGGCGGCGCUCGUGUCUGCCCAGCAGGUGGCGCUGCUGACCCGUUCGCAGGACCGACGACGCGGUCCUCGCUUCCUGCGCCUCCCUUGGCGUCGCGCCCGCUCGGUUCAGCCCGCGCCUCUCUACGACGACAGCCCGUUCCAGCGCAGGAGCCUCGCAGGCCGCUGGGGCAGCUCGGGAACCCACUGAGCUCAAGCUAGGGCCCUCGGACCAGCGUCUGACGGGGGCACUGACCCACACCAUCCUCAGUCCCCACGAUGGCAGAUCUGCAAAGGGUACCCUGGGCCUGGAGCUGGACGCCAUCCCCUUGCUCUGGGACUCUUCUCCAGAGAUCACCACGUGACAGAGAGGGACAGCUGGUACCAUUUCACCCUGAGCUCCUCCCUCUCGAAUCCCUGGGUGCAUCUGUCCCCUGCCAGGCCUAUUUUCCUAGUCCCCUGGAGUGUGCCCUGUCCAAACUUUGGCUUGGCAUCUGGCCUGGAGGGGGUCUUAAAUGGGGGUCUGUAGGGACACUAUGGAGCCACACACCACAGGCUGUCCUGCCCCUUCCUGGACUCUGCCUUCCUCCCGCCACAGCCGACCAGCCCUGCCAGCAGCCAUCACCCCCUCCUUACCCUGUCCCUAUUCCUGAUUGCUGUCCUGGUUUAUGUCCUCUCUGCCCUCCUGCCCACACCUGCUGUCCACCUCCAGGGGCCACCCACCCCUACCCCACCUGACAGUGGGCUUCUCUGGAAGGCUCCCCUGAUGACCCGUCCUGAGGACAGCACAGGGGGAUUACCCUUAUGGGCUGAGGGAACCUUCUUCCUCAGCGAGGCUCACACACGCAGGUGUCUUUCCCUCAGGGACAGGGAUGGGGUCCUGCCCUCUCCCCAGCUCCCUGGCUCCACUCCACCCAUAGGACAAUAAACACGCGGCUCACAGGGGUGGGUCUGACUGAGAGUGCCAGCAGGAGAGCUAAGGAGCAGGCAGAGCCACUGGCCCCGCCCAGGGAAGCCCUGGGGCCAGCGCUCUUGGGACUGGCCUCAGGGUCUCUGUAGAUGAAUCUCGCAGGCUGCAUUGUAGGGUCAGGCCAAUGUGUGAGUGAGUCUUUGUAGACCCAGGGGCGAGGGUCACUGAAUCAAUUUGGAUCCUCCAGAGCAGAUGCUGAAAGGGAUCACAUGCAAGAGAUGUGUCAAAGGAAAGGCCGGAGAGCCUGGGAGGCGCCAGAUCUGGUGACUGAGAGGGAGGGAAGGAAAAGCGUCUGUGUGGGAGCUGUGGACAUCCAUGCUGGCCUCCAGGAGCUUUCAAGCUGGUCAGCCAUGUACAGGGUGAGUGUCAGAACAAAAGCCAAAUGGAUCCCCUCAGGAACAGUGCCCCCCAAAGCAAGCCUGGCCUCCGCACCUUCCUUGCAACCCAGGAACAGACCCCAGGAGGGGCAUGUGACACUCUCCCUCCAAGCACAGGCUCAUCUGCACCCCAGAGCACAGCGUGUCCAUGGGCAAGCCCUACGGUGCUGCACAGCCCACCCUCAGGUCGGGGCUCCGACGGGGAAGCAGCCGUGGUGAGAAGACAGCACCCACCCCCCUACCUGUGGUACUUGGACAGCCCACACCCCUUUGCAAGCUGCUCGGAGCCCGGCUGUCUUGCCCAAGCGUCCACCUGUCUGCCAUGGCCCUGGCCCAGGAGCUGGCAGUCAUGCGUACUCCCUGGUGCGGUGUGAGGUUCAGGUGAAGUACCCAGAGCCUCUGGAAGUGUGACUCGCCCUGGGACUUUGUUACAAUUCCAGGGAAGCUGCAGGUGGCCAGGUGGCUUGGGCCCUCUGUGAGGACGCCUCAGCUCCAGCCCUCCAGGGGACCCAUCCCCUGCACCCACAGAAAAGUCCACUCGUGGUUAAUCUUCCACCUGGGGGUUGGGCUUAGAGGGCCAGGGGACAGCUGCACCCUGACACAUGUACACCCUCUCCCCUUUUCACAUAAGGCCCUGCCAGAGGCUAGCCAGGCUGUAUUUAUUUAUUUGUUUUUGGUACUGGGGGUUGAACUCAGGGGUGCUUCACCACUGAACCACACCCCCAGCUACUUAAGUUGCUGAGGCUGGCUUGGAACUUGUGAUCCCCCUGCCUCAGCCUCCAAGUUGCUGGAAUCACAGGCCUGUGCCACCGUGCCCGGCUAGCCAGCCUUACUCUGGUGUUAAAAUGCUCUUACACGGGUCUUGUUGCUAUGUACCUCAUUAAUGGUCCCAUAUCCAAGAGCCAACUGUUGGACCCUCCAAAUGGGGCUUCGGUAGGCUGGCAGGACCACCUGUCACCUGGUCUUGGGGGUCUUUGGGCCUCAGGAGCAGUGCUGCAAGGCCUGCUUAUUCAGUGCUUUCCAAGGCCUGGGCCGUUCCCAUCCCGUUCACCCAGGUUUUGCUUUCAAGUUCCAGAACAGGGUUUCCACAGGGGGACCAUGGGCCCAAGAGUCCUGGAGCUGCUCUGCUGUGUGGAGGCUGAGUUUUAGGUUUCUAUAACCUGGAUAGGAGAUGUUUGAGGUGCACUGAUUGGGUUUUCUUGGGGGUCCAAUGUCCCAGCAUGGCAGAACCUGCUGGGAGCCAUUAGCCAAGUAGGCAUGACAAUUUCCUUGCCAGCGUACCCCAUGUUGCAGUGACAUUGAAUGUAGGUGACCUUGUUCAAGGACCAAGGCGGAUUAGGGCGUUCCCGGUUUAGGUUCCAGGUUUAAGGUUUAAGAUUAUUCCUGCUGGGAAUAGGGCGUAUCCUGCUGCCUGAGUUCCCCUUGAGUUCUCACGGGAUUCAGACAGUAUUUUUUGGAGAUAGAAGCCCAGUGGAGGGGGAUUUGGGCAGAGAACGUGGAUUUCCCCAGAACGUGAUUGUAGACGGCUGGUGUGAGUUCGGGAAUAAAGAGUUGC
rnacentral:lncRNA from 1 species